AUUGAACGCUGGCGGCAUGCCUAACACAUGCAAGUCGAGCGAAUGGCGGACGGGUGAGUAAUUUCUGGGAAACUGCCUGAUGGAGGGGGAUAACUACUGGAAAAGUUAGCUAAUACCGCAUACCAUCGGAUGUGCCCAGAGGGGAUUAGCUUGUUGGUGGGGUAACGGCUCACCAAGGCGACGAUCCCUAGCUGGCCUGAGAGGAUGACCAGCCACACUGGGACUGAGACACGGUCCAGACUCCUACGGGAGGCAGCAGUGGGGAAUAUUGGACAAUGGGCGCAAGCCUGAUGCAGCCAUGCCGCGUGUAUGAAGAAGGCUUUCGGGUUGUAAAGCACUUUCAGCGGGGAGGCGUUACCUGCAGAAGAAGCACCGGCUAACUCCGUGCCAGCAGCCGCGGUAAUAC
rnacentral:rRNA from 1 species